rnacentral:lncRNA from 1 species
GUGGAUACACUGGGAGUAUAUAGUGGAUACACUGGGGUAUAUAGUGGAUACACUGGGGGUAUACAGUGGAAACACUAGGAGUAUAUAGUGGCUACACAAGGAGAAUAUAGAGGAUACACUGGGCGUAUAUAGUGGCUACAUUAGAAUUAUAUAGUUGAUACACUGGGAGUAUAUAUUGGAUACACUGGGAGUAUAUAGUGGAUACACUUGGAGUAUAUAGUGGAUACACUGGGAGUAUAUAGUGGAUACACUGGGAAUAUAUAUUGGAUACACUGGGAGUAUAUAUUGGAUACACUGGGAGUAUAAAGUGAAUACACUGGGAGUAUAUAUUGGAUACACUGGUAGUAUAUGGUAUAUAUACUGGGAGUAUAUAUUGGAUACACUUAGAGUAUAUAGUGAAUACACUGGUAGUAUAUAGUGAAUACACUCGGAGUAUAUAGUGGAAUUAUUAGGAGUAUUUAGUGGAUACACUGGGCGUACAUAGUGGAUACAUUGGUAGUUUGUGUAUUGGCUACACUGGGAGUAUAUAGUGGAUACACUCGGAUUAUAUAUUGGGUACACUGGGAUUAUAUAGUGGAUACUAUAGGAGUAUAUAGUGGAAACACUAGGAGUAUAUAGUGGAUACACUAGGAGUAUACAUGCGAUACACUGGGAGUUUAUAGUGGAUACAUUGGGUGUAUAUAGUGGAUACAUUGGGCGUAUAUAGUGGAAACACUGUGCGUAUAUGGUGGAUACACUGGGAGUAUAGAGUAGAUACACUAGGAGUAUAUAGUGGCUACACUAGGAGUAUAUAGUGGAUACACUGGUAGUAUAUAGUGGAUACACUGGGGGUAUAUAGUUGAUACACUAGGAGUAUAUAGUGGAUACACUGGGCGUAUAUGGUAAAUACACUGGGAGUAUAUAGUGGAUACACUAGGAGGAUAUAGUGGCUACACUAGGAGUAUAUAUGCGAUACACUGGGAGUAUAUAGUGGAUACAUUGGGUGUAUAUAGUGGAUACAUUGGGCGUAUAUAGUGGAAACACUGGGCAUAUAUGGUGGAAACACUGGGAGUAUAUAGUGGAUACACUAGGAGUAUAUAGUGGAUACACUGGGCGUAUAUAGUGGAUAUACUGGGCGUAUAUAGCGGAUACACUGGGCGUAUAUAGUGGAUAUUAUUCAGGAAGUCUCUAACACUGUAACAAGUAACUAUUAAACUUUCUUGUCAUCUGUCAAAAUCAAUAUUUAGAUAUCACACAAAGUCCAAACCAAGGCGAUCUGCAUAUUUGUUUAUUAUGUCCUGUUAUUUUUACAUGUGUUUUCUUAUACGUAAGGGGAGCUGCGUGACCCAGAGUCGGACACCAGCCGAGCACAUGGCGCACCCGACCCCACGUAUGACGGUAGUAAUGGUGACAGGGGUGAGAGGCUUUGGCAAAGAUCCCUCAAAAAGUUAAAGUCAAACUUCAAAAAGGAUAUAAGUGUCUCCUACAAGUUCUUAGAAGAAAGUAUUUGUGAAAAAUAUUUAAUGACGGUUGCUGAUCUCCUUCAUAGCAACGAAACCUACAAAGCAGGCGAAGUUCUGGCAGUUUUAGCCGCUACCAUAGCUGGUGUAACAGAAAAAGAAAACAGUGGCUACCAUUUCCGAAUCAAUCGGUUAAUGUUCGGAGACCUAGAUAUAUGGAUGGCCUCGUUCAUUCUUUCGUUCGAUGGUAAAGGGAGGGAACACCUAUUAGACGUUCUAAGAGGCAUACCCAAGUAAGUUAUCGACAGCGGGAACAUAUAUAUUCACAUGUUCAGUAAACAUCUACGUUAUGCAGUCAGUAUGAAAGUUGUUUAAACCGGACCCCACUAAGUUGUUAUACAUAUUAAGAUAACAUGCAGAAGAUAUUAAAGAGAAGUUAUGGUUCUCGAAAGCUUUUCGGAAAUAACGAUUGGAAUAUUGUACAACAAGUUUCUGAAGUAUUUUAUUAUAUUUUUUUUAAUAGUUGCACCCAUCAAAAGAUGAUUUUUUAAAAAUCGAAAGAAACUUCUGUGAAACAAUGAAUCUUCAUGAUUUACUUUUGACUUUUUAAACAUUUAGUAAACUAAACAGUUAUAAACAUCUCAAAGAUGUGGUAGAGUAGCAAGUAGUAUUCUUUUUUAAACUUGAACGCUGAUUCACUUAUCUGCAGGUCGUAAUCGAGAAAACAAUACACCUGCUGUUACCCACUGCAUUGUAUCGUAAGAGGCGACUAGUGUGCGAAUCCCUGCAGCAUACGGGAUUUGCUUGUGUAUCCUCUGUUAAAGGACACAAAAGCGACCAAAAUAAAUCUGCUGUACUCAUUGCAAUAUUUGGAAUCUUUCUAUUUCUUUCUACUUCUAACUAACUUUUACUUUCUAAUCCCUUGCUUGGCAAUACCUCACGUUGUGAGUUAAUAAUGAGCGUUCUCCCAUGUGAUGGGAGGCAAUGGGUUCCGUCCCCAGACAGGGACAUAACAAAUACAUUUGGUAUUCCCUGCUGGACGUUCAGCAUUGAGGGUAAUGGCAGCAACUGGUUUAACCGUUGUCAGUAUAAUGUGACCGGGCGGAAUGCUGUGCUAGGUG